rnacentral:rRNA from 1 species
UACGUAGGGACCAAGCGUUGUUCGGAUUUACUGGGCGUAAAGGGCGCGUAGGCGGCAAUUCAAGUCAGUUGUGAAAUCUCCGAGCUUAACUCGGAACGGUCAACUGAUACUGCUUUGCUAGAGUACAGAAGGGGCAAUCGGAAUUCUUGGUGUAGCGGUGAAAUGCGUAGAUAUCAAGAGGAACACCUGAGGUGAAGACGGGUUGCUGGGCUGACACUGACGCUGAGGCGCGAAAGCUAGGGGAGCGAACGGG